UCUGCUCCUAUCGACAAUGCUGACGAAACAGUUGGUCUGUCAGAAAGGACUUCAUGGAAAACCAAAGGCAGAUAUGUGCCAGAGCCUUUGAACAAGCCUGAUAGCUUCGACGUGCCAAGUACUAGUGGUACAAAAGAUGUUCCUGAAGAAAAAGGAGUUCCUGCAAAAGAANUGUGCCAGAGUUUGAACAAGCCUGAUAGCUUCGACGUGCCAAGUAUUAGUGGUACAAAAGAUGUUCCUUAAGAAAAAGGAGUUUCUGCAAAAGGAGUCACUCCUUCAAGCGACACAUCAUUAGUUCAAAGUGAAUCAGCUGACAAAAAGCAAAAACAAAAAGCGAAUACCCAUCGUCAGCCGAAGCAGGUGAGAAAUCAGAAACAACAAAGGAAUCAGAGAUACAAGAAGAAUCCCUUUGAAAGAAAACAGUUCUGGCAAUCUCAAAAUGUCCAUUUCUCUUAUCAUGACAGAAAUUUAAAGUCAGAGAAAAACACUGUUAGGUCACAAGAAAGUCAUAACAACCGAAGAGAGAGGUUCGGUUAUGAAGGUCAAAACAACCGAAAGGAUACGUUCGGCUCUGAAAAAUUUGACAACCGAAAGCAAAGGUUCAGUUCGGAAAACACUAUCUACUGAAAACAGAGGUUCGGUUCCGAGAGCAAAAGAGACCAAAGAUCUAGGUUCGGUCCCACUAAUGAUCAAAAACAAAAGGGUCACUUAGAAUCUCAAGCCAAGAAAUCAUCUCAGUCUAACUUCUCUCGUUCUUCUUCUUCUAAUUCUUCUAAUUCCUCUCAACCUCUUUCUAAAUUCAACUCUGUUCGCACUCAAAAACCUAAAUCAUCAACAGAUAUGAAAGGAAAAUCAAAGUUUUCAUCAGUUGAAACAAAUCAAAAUAAUCCCAGAGUCCAAAUACCUAAACCAGAAUCCAAACCGAAAGAAACAAAUCACAAUAAAAUUAAGGUUUUCACCAUUAAAAAGAAAGAUGAAACAACGUUAAUAAAAAGAACAUAUCUUGUUGACAUCUCUCUAACUAUUCCUGUUCCAGUGAAAGGCUCACGUGGACCCAAGAAACUUUGGGUUCCUAAAUCUGCUUAAUUUUUGCAGGUUAUUAGUGACGAGCAGUUUGACGAAGAAUGGUACAUUGACAGUGGCUGCUCACGUCACAUGACAGGAAGGAAGGAAGAGCUGAGGGAGUUUAGGUCUCUUUCAAACGGUGGAAAUGUCAAGUUCGGGAACAACUCCUUCGGCACCAUAAAAGGCUAUGGAAUGAUUACAAAUGGUGAUUUUACGAUUAGGAAGGUUGCAUACGUUGAAGGACUACAACACAACCUCAUCAGUGUAUCUCAGCUUGUUGGAGGUACCGGUCUCAAGGUUUCAUUCGAUGAUGAGGGUUCGGAAAUAAUUGAGAAGAAAACGAAAAGAGUCAUUCUCAAAUCGGAGCGCAAAGGCGAAAUGUUUCCCCUGAACCUCAAACCCAUCAAAGGGAAUCCA
rnacentral:lncRNA from 1 species